UACGUAGGGCGCAAGCGUUAUCCGGAAUUAUUGGGCGUAAAGAGCUCGUAGGCGGUUUGUCGCGUCUGCUGUGAAAGACCGGGGCUCAACUCCGGUUCUGCAGUGGGUACGGGCAGACUAGAGUGCAGUAGGGGGAGACUGGAAUUCCUGGUGUAGCGGUGAAAUGCGCAGAUAUCAGGAGGAACACCGGUGGCGAAGGCGGGUCUCUGGGGCCGAUACUGACGCUGAGGAGCGAAAGCGUGGGGGAGCGAACAGG
rnacentral:rRNA from 1 species